rnacentral:rRNA from 1 species
AGCCGCGGUAAUACGAAGGGGGCUAGCGUUGUUCGGAAUUACUGGGCGUAAAGCGAACGUAGGCGGAUUGGCAAGUUAGGGUGAAAUCCCGGAGCUCAACUCCGGAACUGCCCUUGAUACUGGGUGUCUUGAGUGUGAGAGAGGUAUGUGGAACUCCGAGUGUAGAGGUGAAAUUCGUAGAUAUUCGGAAGAACACCAGUGGCGAAGGCGACAUACUGGCUCAUUACUGACGCUGAGGCUCGAAAGCGUGGGGAGCAAACAG